rnacentral:rRNA from 1 species
AGAGUUUGAUCAUGGCUCAGAACGUACGCUGGCGGCACGCCUAACACAUGCAAGUCGAACGAAGUAGCAAUACUUAGUGGCAGACGGGUGAGUAACAUGUGGGUAUCUACCCUUUGGCCUGGAAUAACACGAGGAAACUUGUGCUAAUACCGGAUAAGUCUUUACGGAGAAAGCUUUAUGCACCAUUGGAUGAGCCCGCACUUGAUUAGUUUGUUGGUAGGGUAAUGGCCUACCAAGACUAUGAUCAAUAGCUGAUUUGAGAGGAUGAUCAGCCACAUUGGGACUGAGACACGGCCCAAACUCCUACGGGAGGCAGCAGUGGGGAAUCUUGCACAAUGGAGGAAACUCUGAUGCAGCGAUGCCGCGUGAGUGAAGAAGGCCUUUGGGUUGUAAAGCUCUUUCGUCGGGGAAGAAAAUGACUGUACCCGAAUAAGAAGGUCCGGCUAACUUCGUGCCAGCAGCCGCGGUAAUACGAAGGGACCUAGCGUAGUUCGGAAUUACUGGGCUUAAAGAGUUCGUAGGUGGUUGAAAAAGUUGGUGGUGAAAUCCCAGAGCUUAACUCUGGAACUGCCAUCAAAACUUUUCAGCUAGAGUAUGAUAGAGGAAAGCAGAAUUUCUAGUGUAGAGGUGAAAUUCGUAGAUAUUAGAAAGAAUACCAAUUGCGAAGGCAGCUUUCUGGAUCAUUACUGACACUGAGGAACGAAAGCAUGGGUAGCGAAGAGGAUUAGAUACCCUCGUAGUCCAUGCCGUAAACGAUGUGUGUUAGACGUUGGAAAUUUAUUUUCAGUGUCGCA